GCAGGAGCAAAGUUCUCCGGUUUCUUAGCUUUCCCCCUCACCUCCAGAUUGGAAUGGGAGGAGCCAGUAUAUCAUGUGACCAAGUCUGUCAAGUCACGUGACGAGGAAGAACCGGUAGCCCGGCCUCAGGAAAGUUUUUAUCUCUGGCGGAGCUCCUGGUAACCUUGGCGAUGCGCUCUCAGCAGCCGAGGAUUGAAAUUAUGUCAUUUUUCCCUCAGAUACCUUAGUCUCGGGCGGUAUCCUGUGAUGGAGAUGUGGGUCCUCUCUUACCAUGUCUGGCUGGCGGCGCCCCAGAUGCCAUGUGAUGACCAUUUGAAGACAGGCCUGUCGGACAUCAGGUGUGCAGCAUUACAACUCUGAGUGGAAGCUCUGAGUACGUGGGCAGGUUUGUGGACACACGGACCUCACACAGGGAAACUGAUGGCCACCAUGUCACACACUGCAGUGGAAACCAUUGACAGAGGAUCCAAUGUGAGUGUCCACCUGGAGUUGUGCAUCAGUGCAGCCCUACAGGAGUACAGAUGGAGUGAGAGCUGCUUUUCUGGGAGAAGUCAGCUGUUAUGUCAUGAGGACAAUUAAGAAACUCUGUAGGACUUCCCUGGUGGCGCAGUGGUUAAGAAUCCGCCUGCCAAUGCAGGGCACACAAUUUAGAGCCCUGGUCUGUGAAGAUCCCACAUGCCACAGAACGGCUAAGCCUGUACGCCAUAACUGCUGAGCCUGUGCUCUAGAGCCCACGAGCCACAACUACUGAAGCCCGCACGCCUAGAGCCUGUGCUCCGCAACAAGAGAAGCCACCGCAAUGAGAAGCCCGCGCACCACAAUGAAAAGUAGCUCCCACUCACCGCAACUAGAGGAAACCUGAAGACCCAACGCAGCCAAAAAUAAAUAAAUAAAUAAAUAAAUAAAUUUAUUUAUUUAAAAAAAAAAAGAAAAGAAACUCUAUGGAGCACUCCACAUGGCAAUAAACUGAGCUCUCCUGCCACAAGCCAGUGAAAAACAGACCUCCAGCCAAGAGCCAUGUGAGUGAGUUCCUCCAGCCCCAGUUAAGCCUUAAGAUGACUACAGCCCCAGCCAACACCUUGACUGAAACCUCAUGAGAGACCUGAGCUAGAACCACCUGACUCUCAGAAAUUGUAUGAGGGAGAAGGCCUGCAGGGCACAGGCGAGCGGAGGCGGGCAGCGAGGAGAAGGCGCCAGCAGCAGAGCCAGCAGCAGGCGGUAGAGUUCCCGGCGGCAGCGCGAGCUGGUAUACGGGGAGUUGCCUAGGACCUCGCCCUGCUGGACGCCCAUGACCAGUGGGAGGACCAGAUCAUGCAGUCUCUGAAAAGGACAGAGAGCACACCUUGCGAUGACACCGAGACGAGCCAACCCUUCUCCGGGGCCUACUCCCCGGUGUGAAUGAGCCCCCCACAGGCACAGAGCAGCGGCCCCUCCCACCUCCGUGGGCACCAGGCUCCACUCACCCUGUGAGUCUCCUCCUUGAUGAGAGGCCCGCACAUGAGGAUGGUCCGGCUGAGGCCUAGGGAAGGAGACCAGUAUGUUGGAGAUUAGCGACUGUGUCAAAGCAGGAAGCCCACUGAGCAGCCUGCCUGGGGAGUGUGAGCUCCACGGCCCAGGGAUUUCGUCCUGUUCCUGGCCCCGCCCUCCUGUACUAGAACAGCACUUGGCACGGAGAGGGGAUGCACGAACAAAGAUGGUCACCUGUAAGGCCUCUCCUGGCCUGGAGAGAGGCUGUCCCUCCCAAUGCUCCAGGCAUUGAGAACCUGGGGAAGCAGGCGGCUGAUCAGGGCCCCAAAGCGCAAGAGCCGGCCUCCACACCUGGGGGCGAAGACAGAACAGUGAGCCCUGCGCCCAGCACAUCCCAGCCCCUGCACCGCAUCCACCCGACCCCACUCACGCGAGGACGAGCGCAGAGAGCAGGUCCAAGGCUUCCAGGUGGAGGGAGGGCAGCAGCAGCAACCGCAGGGGACCAUCUCCAAGCAAACUCUGUGGAAAAAAUUAGCAGAGCAAGGAGUGGGGGAAGAAAGUGAGGCACAGCAAGAGAAAUGGAGACAGGAUACACGCAUGUGACUAAAUACACAUGUGCACGCAGGUAAGGAGCCCACACCCGACCCCAACUCCCCCAACAAGAUCCAAUUGCCAUCCUCCUCAACAGACCCUGGAAGGACGACAAGGGAGGGAUGGCCGAACCUCGCGGCAGUGACGCAGCUGACCCCCAGCUCACCCUCCCCUGAGGAAGCAUCUGCUGCAAGUGCGCCCGCAACACGGGAGCGAAUCGGCACUGCUGUGCACGUGCCGGGAGCUCGGGAGUAACGGCAUCUGGAGAGGGAAGGAGCUGGCCGGGGCGACCUCAGGCAACGUCGCUUCGGGAGCCACAGCCCGCACUGCUUGCCUGGCUGCCCUGGAUCCUGGGCCAGUGCUGUGAACAGGGGACAAACUCCACUUACGAUGUUCUUGGCACUGACGCUGAGGGUCCGGCAGAUAAGAUCCAGGAUGUCCUGCACGGGGACGGACACGGGAGCCCCGAACUCGGAGCUAAAGAGAAUCAGAGCAGGGAGAUCCUCAGCGCGGGGUCCCCAGGGGGACUCCACACCCACCCUCAACCUCCCUCCUCGUGAUGAAGAUGACGCCCAUCUCAGCCCCUCCUGCUCCAGGCCCUCGCUCCCUCCGACACUCACACACCUGAGCAUGAGCCCCAGGCAGCGGGCCAGCCCGGAAAA